rnacentral:rRNA from 1 species
GAUGAACGCUGGCGGCGUGCUUAACACAUGCAAGUCGAACGGUGAAGGCGGAGCUUGCUCUGCUGGAUCAGUGGCGAACGGGUGAGUAACACGUGAGCAAUCUGCCCCUGACUCUGGGAUAAGCGCUGGAAACGGCGUCUAAUACUGGAUACGAGCUGCGAAGGCAUCUUCAGCAGCUGGAAAGAACUUCGGUCAGGGAUGAGCUCGCGGCCUAUCAGCUUGUUGGUGAGGUAACGGCUCACCAAGGCGUCGACGGGUAGCCGGCCUGAGAGGGUGACCGGCCACACUGGGACUGAGACACGGCCCAGACUCCUACGGGAGGCAGCAGUGGGGAAUAUUGCACAAUGGGCGAAAGCCGGAUGCAGCAACGCCGCGUGGGGGACGACGGCCUUCGGGUGGUAAACCUCUUUUAGCAGGGAAGAAGCGAAAGUGACGGUACCUGCAGAAAAGCGCCGGCUAACUACGUG